UUCCCAUGGUGAGGGCAUUGCUAAAGUAAGCUCUUGAAAUGAUUCUAAGAUUCAAACAAAGACUCCCUAUCCUUUUGCAUAAAAUUGAUGAUCAGAUGUCUCAUGAGGGA